rnacentral:rRNA from 1 species
AAACCAGCACCUCAAGUGGUCAGGAUGAUUAUUGGGCCUAAAGCAUCCGUAGCCUGCUCUGUAAGUUUUCGGUUAAAUCUGUACGCUCAACGUACAGGCUGCUGGGAAUACUGCAGAGCUAGGGAGUGGGAGAGAUAGACGGUACUCGGGAGGAAGUGGUAAAAUGCUUUGAUCUCUCGAUGACCACCUGUGGCGAAGGCGGUCUAUCAGAACACGUCCGACGGUGAGGGAUGAAAGCUGGGGGAGCAAACCGGAUUAGAAACCCCAGUAGUCC